rnacentral:rRNA from 1 species
AAUGCCUAGGAAUCUGCCUGGUAGUGGGGGACAACGUUUCGAAAGGAACGCUAAUACCGCAUACGUCCUACGGGAGAAAGCAGGGACCUUCGGGCAUUGCGCUAUCAGAUGAGCCUAGGUCGGAUUAGCUAGUUGGUGAGGUAAUGGCUCACCAAGGCGACGAUCCGUAACUGGUCUGAGAGGAUGAUCAGUCACACUGGAACUGAGACACGGUCCAG